rnacentral:rRNA from 2 species
UACGGAGAGGGCUAGCGUUAUUCGGAAUUAUUGGGCGUAAAGGGCGCGUAGGCUGGUUAAUAAGUUAAAAGUGAAAUCCCGAGGCUUAACCUUGGAAUUGCUUUUAAAACUAUUAAUCUAGAGAUUGAAAGAGGAUAGAGGAAUUCCUGAUGUAGAGGUAAAAUUCGUAAAUAUUAGGAGGAACACCAGUGGCGAAGGCGUCUAUCUGGUUCAAAUCUGACGCUGAAGCGCGAAGGCGUGGGGAGCAAACAGG